rnacentral:rRNA from 1 species
CCUACGGGAGGCAGCAGUGGGGAAUUUUGGACAAUGGGGGCAACCCUGAUCCAGCCAUGCCGCGUGAGUGAAGAAGGCCUUCGGGUUGUAAAGCUCUUUCGGACGGAACGAAACGGGCGAGGCUAAUAACCUUGUCCACUGACGGUACCGUAAGAAGAAGCACCGGCUAACUACGUGCCAGCAGCCGCGGUAAUACGUAGGGUGCGAGCGUUAAUCGGAAUUACUGGGCGUAAAGCGUGCGCAGGCGGUUUUGUAAGCUGGAGGUGAAAUCCCCGGGCUUAACCUGGGAAUGGCCUUCAGGACUGCAAGGCUUGAGUACGGCAGAGGGAGGUGGAAUUCCACGUGUAGCAGUGAAAUGCGUAGAUAUGUGGAGGAACACCGAUGGCGAAGGCAGCCUCCUGGGCCAGUACUGACGCUCAUGCACGAAAGCGUGGGGAGCAAACAGGAUUAGAUACCCUGGUAGUCCACGCCCUAAACGAUGUCAACUAGGUGUUGGGGAAGGUGACUUCCUUAGUACCGCAGCUAACGCGUGAAGUUGACCGCCUGGGGAGUACGACCGCAAGGUUAAAACUCAAAUGAAAUUGACGGCUUGAGAGNGCGAGGCGACGACGAGGGAGGAGG